GUCUCGCGAGGCUUGGGCGCUGCGGCGGUAGGAGCAGGACGGCGAAGGACGGAGCGGAGCCGCCGCUACUCCCCUCGCUCACUCCCUCGCUCAGUCGCCCGCCCCCUCCCUCCCUCCCCUCCCUUCCCCGGCCCCGGCCCGGGCUCCGGCCCCGGCCUUUUUGCUCUUGGGUUUUCUGCAGUGAGGAUGUCGGGCUCGACGCUCCCCAGCGCUCUGGUCAUCUCGCUGCUGCUGGUCUCUGGCUCCCUCCUCCCAGGGCCAGGCGCCGCUCAGAACGCUGGGUUUGUCAAGUCGCCCAUGUCAGAAACUAAGCUCACUGGGGACGCCUUUGAGCUGUACUGUGAUGUGGUCGGGAGCCCCACGCCAGAGAUCCAGUGGUGGUACGCAGAAGUCAACCGAGCAGAGUCUUUCAGACAGCUGUGGGACGGUGCACGGAAGCGCCGUGUCACCGUAAACACCGCCUACGGGUCAAACGGCGUGAGUGUGCUGAGAAUAACCCGGCUCACCUUGGAGGACUCUGGGACUUACGAGUGCAGGGCCAGCAACGACCCCAAGAGGAAUGACUUGAGGCAAAACCCCUCCAUAACAUGGAUUCGAGCCCAGGCCACCAUAAGCGUCCUUCAGAAACCAAGAAUUGUCACCAGUGACGACGUCAUUAUUCGAGACAGCCCUGCUCUCCCUGUCACCCUGCAGUGUAACCUCACCUCCAGCUCUCACAUCCUUACAUACAGCUACUGGACAAAGAAUGGGGUGGAACUGACUGCCACUCGUAAGAAUGCCAGCAACAUGGAAUACAGGAUCAGUAAGCCGAGAGCUGAAGAUUCAGGCGAAUACCACUGUGUAUAUCACUUUCACAGUGCUCCUAAAGCAAAUGCCACCAUUGAAGUGAAAGCUGCUCCUGAUAUCACUGGCCAUAAACGGAGCGAGAACAAGAACGAAGGGCAGGAUGCCAUGAUGUACUGCAAGUCAGUUGGCUACCCCCACCCAGAGUGGGUCUGGCGCAGGAAGGAGAACGGUCUGUUCAUGGAUAUUGCCAAUAACUCUGGCCGCUUCUUCAUCAUCAACAAGGAAAAUUACACUGAGCUAAGCAUCGUGAACCUCCAGAUCACAGAGGACCCUGGCGAGUAUGAAUGUAAUGCCACCAACUCCAUUGGCACUGCCUCCGUCGUUACCAUCCUCAGGGUACGGAGCCACCUGGCCCCACUCUGGCCUUUCUUGGGAAUCCUGGCUGAAAUCAUCAUCCUUGUGGUGAUCAUUGUUGUGUAUGAGAAGAGAAAGAAGCCUGAUGAAGUUCCUGACGAUCAUCAGGCAGAUUGAGCUUGAGGAGAAUUCAAGUCAAGCCUAGAAGCCACCCCAAGAUCGCAGGCCACCUGGCCUUUCAGGCAGAUUUAAGAGGUGUCCCUGUCCUGUGGCUGAACAGUGGUGGGACAGUACCACCCACCCUGUGUGUCGGGGAGAACCCUAAGGGAAGUCUGUGAUGUCACGGACUAUGCAGCCCUGAAGGAAUGCAGUGAAUCCCAACUCUUUGGAAGGACAGGUUUGAGAACAAGAGCCAUUUCCCCUUCUUUUCCUUUUGUUUCAGCAACUCCUAAUUCUUUUUGCCUGCGUUAAGUAGAGUGAGUAUUAGAGUGAAGCUGGUGGAAAGGUUUUUUAUUAAAACUAACAUUGCACAUGGGAAGACGAGGUGGACUCAAGAUGUACAUUCAGCAAUUAUCUAGAUGGAGGGAUGGGGUAGAUUUAGGCUGGAAGCAGAUAGGCCUUUGUAAAUAAAUGAGUUAGGUUCUCGAACAAUUUGAUUCUCAACCUGACAACAUAAGUGUUCCGAGGAUUUUUACUUUCCUUCUCCUAAGUCCAUAGAACUGUUCUAUGAAAUACAAUUGUUUUCUUGGGGUUUUCAUAUAUGUAUUAUGCUUUUCCUUUAUAUUUUUCUUCUUCUGCUACAAAUUAGGACUCCCAAGGCAGAAUUAGGGACAAGUUGACUAUAUGGUUUUAGCAUUGGCUCUUUGGGAGCAGUUUUGCCUCAUUCCCAAAAAGGCCUUUUUUAAAUCCCCUCAGAAUGCUUUUGAGUUAGUAGGUAUCACCAUUAUCAGUCUUCCCUUUGGAAAUGUUGAGAAGCAAAACGUCAGUUAGAACAAGACAGGUAUGGGCUUCAAAACCAGUUUUUUAAAGUUUUAAGAUGAGGCUGAGUGACGCUGGCUUAGCACGCAGCCUGGGCAGAGGUUCCAGUCUUCCUGUGGGAAGCACUUCUUUUCUAGGCUGCUCUCCAGCAUAUGUGGAAGGCUUUCAGGUUGGUUUUGAGAAAUGGGUAGCAUUAUUUUUAUCUGGCAUGUGCUCACACCUGCCCAGGAAGCAGCUCUUUUUUGAAGAGCUCCAUGGUGGUUGAACUCAAAUGGGGCCAGUUUGUUAUAGGAGACAUCUGUGGCCAGCAAAUCUUCUGCACGGCUUCUUGGAGGGAAACUACUUCUUUUAAGCUAAAUUAUUAUAGACAGUGAAUGAAUCCUACCUAAGAGAUUACUACAGGGUAAGUGCAAAGUAAAACCUCCUUGCUCCAAUCUCUUGGAAGAAUAAUGCAAGCAGAUUUUACUUUUUGUUGUUGAAUUGGGGUGAAAAAAUCUGGGAUGCUGGAAUCACUGCAGUGUUUGCCUUCUCUUCAUUCCCUCCCUGACGGCCAGUGUGGUCCAGGCUCCAUUGUUCAUCUCCAUGUCCCUGCCCUUGCUCCGUCAUUUCCAUCCCAUAGUUUUCUCCUUGUCCCUCUGCCUGCCCCUCUUUUUCUUCUUCUGUCCUGAAAGUAAUCAUUAAAAAAAAAGUUUAUUGUUCUCAGUGAGUUUUCCUGAUGCUGUGGCUUUUUCUUUUUUAGCCAGUUUCCCCGCAACUCCUAUACAAUUUGUGUGAGAGCAGACGCACUGCAUAUGCUUUCUUCUCUUAUGUCCCCCUCCUGCCA